GGCACAAUCCAAAACAUAUAAGGUGUUAUAUUGUUGAAUGUGUUUCUAUACGUAUGUUUACCUUUGUACUAAUCGUGCAACCCUAUUUGAAUGUUUUAAUGCAGGUAUGGGCUCGUUGCUAGACCCUGUUAUCGACGCGAGCCACCGGUCUUUCGCCGCAGCAGUUCAGCGCCGAGCCCUUGGAGUGCUACGACCGCGUCCACCAGGAGAGGUCAUCUCUAUACACCAAGAUUGGGUCGAAAGGUUAUGUGAGUGCGGUCUACUGACUCUGGGCCGUCUUGUGGAGGGUGGGAUUGUGAAGCUCGACCGAUCCCUCCUGACGGCGCUAGUGGAUAGAUGGAAGCCGGAGACUCACACGUUCCACCUCCCAUGUGGGGAGAUGACUCC